rnacentral:rRNA from 1 species
AACGAACGCUGGCGGCGUGCCUAACACAUGCAAGUCGAGCGAAGUGAGUACUACGGUACGAACUUAGCGGCGGACGGGUGAGUAACGCGUGGACAAUCUACCCUGUAGACUGGGAUAACACCUCGAAAGGGGUGCUAAUACCGGAUAAUGUCGAGAAGCGGCAUCGCUUUUCGAAGAAAGGAGAGAAUCCGCUAUAGGAGGAGUCCGCGUCCCAUUAGCUAGUUGGUGAGGGUAACGGCCCACCAAGGCGACGAUGGGUAGCCGGCCUGAGAGGGUGGACGGCCACACUGGAACAGAGACACGGUCCGGACUCCUACGGGAGGCAGCAGUGGGGAAUAUUGUGCAAUGGGGGAAACCCUGACACAGCAACGCCGCGUGAGCGAAGAAGGCCUUCGGGUUGUAAAGCUCAAUAGUAUGGGAAGAUAAUGACGGUACCAUACGAAAGCCCCGGCUAACUACGUGCCAGCCGCCGCCGUAACAC